GAUGAACGCUGGCGGCAGGCCUAACACAUGCAAGUCGAACGGUAGCACAGGAGAGCUUGCUCUCUGGGUGACGAGUGGCGGACGGGUGAGUAAUGCAUGGGGAGCUGCCCAAUCGAGGGGGAUACCAGCUGGAAACGGCUGCUAAUACCGCAUAAGCCCUGAGGGGGAAAGAUUUAUCGCCGAUGGAGCGACCCGCGUCAGAUUAGGUAGUUGGUAGGGUAAAGGCCUACCAAGCCGACGAUCUGUAGCUGUUCUUAGAGGAAGAUCAGCCACACUGGAACUGAGACACGGUCCAGACUCCUACGGGAGGCAGCAGUGGGGAAUAUUGGACAAUGGGGGAAACCCUGAUCCAGCAAUGCCGCGUGAGUGAAGAAGGCCUUCGGGUUGUAAAGCUCUUUUAGAUGAGACGAUGAUGACGGUAUCAUCAGAAAAAGCACCGGCUAACUCUGUG
rnacentral:rRNA from 1 species